UACAUUAGUGCUUGCGCACGACAAUAAAUUUCAUUACAUUCGAGUUUGUGUAAAAAUCCUCUGCCGGCCGAAGCUAGCAAGAGGCCAAAGGUUCACAGGGUAUUUAUUGGAUGAAAAGUCACCGACGUGCACAUGCCGAAGCCGGCCAGCACUGACGGCGACGAUUCGCAAUCAAUAAUGAUCCUUCCGCAGGUUCACCUACGGAAA
rnacentral:misc_RNA from 1 species